CCUACGGGAGGCAGCAGUGGGGAAUAUUGCACAAUGGGCGAAAGCCUGAUGCAGCGACGCAGCGUUAGCGAUGAAGGCCUUCGGGUCGUAAAGCUCUGUCCUAAGGGAAGAAGAUUGACGGUACCUUAGGAGGAAGCCCCGGUUAACUACGUGCCAGCAGCCGCGGUAAUACGUAGGGGGCGAGCGUUAUCCGGAAUUACUGGGCGUAAAGUGUGCGUAGGCGUCUUUAUAAGUCAGGUGUGAAAGGCGUCGGCUCAACCGAUGGGAGCACUUGAAACUGUAGGGCUUGAGUGCAGGGGAGGAGGACCGAAUUCCUAGUGUAGCGGUGAAAUGCGUAGAUAUUGGGAGGAACACCAGUGUCGAAGGCGUCUCUCUGGACUGUACCUGACGCUGAGGCACGAAAGCGUGGGGAGCAAACUGGAUUAGCUACCCUAGUAGUC
rnacentral:rRNA from 1 species